rnacentral:rRNA from 1 species
AGGAUGAACGCUGGCGGCGUGCUUAAUACAUGCAAGUCGAGCGGUAAGGCCCCUUCGGGGGUACACGAGCGGCGGACGGCUGAGUAACGCGUGGGAACGUACCCCGAAGUGAGGGAUAAGCACCAGAAAUGGUGUCUAAUACCGCAUGUGCUCUAAGGAGUAAAGCUCCGGCGCUUCGGGAACGGCCUGCGUCCGAUUAGCUUGUUGGUGAGGUAAUGGCUUACCAAGGCGACGAUCGGUAGCUGGUCUGAGAGGAUGACCAGCCAGACUGGGACUGAGAACGGCCCAGACUCCUACGGGAGGCAGCAGUAGGGAAUCUUGCACAAUGGGCGAAAGCCUGAUGCAGCGACGCCGCGUGAGGGAAGAAGGCUUUCGGGUUGUAAACCUCUUUCAGAAGGGACGAAGCUCCUCGGGUUAAUAGCCCAGAGGGUGACGGUACCUUCAGAAGAAGCCCCGGCUAACUACGUGCCAGCAGCCGC